GAUAUGGCUCAGGACGAACGCUGGCGGCGUGCCUAAUACAUGCAAGUCGAACGAACCGCGACUGAGUGCUUGCACUUGGUCAAGGUGAGUGGCGAACGGGUGAGUAACACGUGGGUAACCUACCUCAUAGUGGGGGAUAACAGUCGGAAACGACUGCUAAUACCGCAUAGGACAUAGAAUCACAUGAUUCCGUGAGGAAAGGUGGCGCAAGCUAUCGCUAAGAGAUGGACCCGCGG
rnacentral:rRNA from 1 species